rnacentral:rRNA from 1 species
GUGCCUAAUACAUGCAAGUCGAACGGUCUUUUCUAUGGAAGCUUGCUUCCACUGAGAAGAUAGUGGCGAACGGGUGAGUAACACGUGGGUAACCUGCCCAUAAGAGGGGGAUAACAUCCGGAAACGGGUGCUAAUACCGCAUAGUUUUCUUGAUCGCAUGAUCGGGAAAGGAAAGACGGCCUUUGUGCUGUCGCUUAUGGAUGGACCCGCGGCGUAUUAGUUAGUUGGUGAGGUAACGGCUCACCAAGACGAUGAUACGUAGCCGACCUGAGAGGUGAUCGGCCACAUUGGGACUGAGACACGGCCCAAACUCCUACGGGAGGCAGCAGUAGGGAAUCUUCCGCAAUGGACGAAAGUCUGACGGAGCAACGCCGCGUGAGUGAAGAAAGGUUUUCGGAUCGUAAAACUCUGUUGUCAGAGAAGAACAAGUUGGAGAGUAACUGCUCCAGCCUUGACGGUAUCUGACCAGAAAGCCACGGCUAACUACGUGCCAGCCGCUGC